rnacentral:lncRNA from 1 species
GCAAGCCUUUCACAUCACGUGAGGAUCAAGGGCUCAAUUGGUUGUCGUGAGAACAAAAAUGGUGACAAGCGUAUCAAGAAAAUACUGAUCUGGUCUUUAAGUGGGCGAAGCUACAAGUUAUGAAUGUGAAACAUUUCUCGGAGAUCUAGGAUCUCCGAAGUUCGGAAGGAGCGAAAUGUAAUGAGCACAAGAGCAAAGCAGAUGUUUUAAAGAAACACUUUAUAAACCUUUCCUCAACUUAUCUCCAAUUUGUCGGCUUUCCCAAGGGGC